GACGAACGCUGGCGGCGUGCUUAACACAUGCAAGUCGAACGGAAAGGCCCUGCUUUUGUGGGGUGCUCGAGUGGCGAACGGGUGAGUAACACGUGAGUAACCUGCCCUUGACUUUGGGAUAACUUCAGGAAACUGGGGCUAAUACCGGAUAGGAGCUCCUGCUGCAUGGUGGGGGUUGGAAAGUUUCGGCGGUUGGGGAUGGACUCGCGGCUUAUCAGCUUGUUGGUGGGGUAGUGGCUUACCAAGGCUUUGACGGGUAGCCGGCCUGAGAGGGUGACCGGCCACAUUGGGACUGAGAUACGGCCCAGACUCCUACGGGAGGCAACAGUGGGGAAUAUGGCACAAUGGGCGGAAGCCUGAUGCAGCAACGCCGCGUGCGGGAUGACGGCCUUCGGGUUGUAACCGCUUUCGCCUGUGACGAAGCGUGAGUGACGGUAAUGGGUAAAGAAGCACCGGCUAACUACGUG
rnacentral:rRNA from 1 species